CUUAGCUUCCAGCUUGAAUAUACAGCCUUCAGCAGUUGCAUAAAUAAUACUCAAAGUUAUAGCAUUAAAAUUGCUUUCAGUUUUGGUGUAACCACUGCACAGUGCUUUUCAACAAGCUGAGCUUUCUUAGAUUUUGUCAUUGUUAUUCAUCAUACUCAGCCUGUGUCUGCUCAUGUCUAUAAACGAAGGCCAUCUUCAUGUGAUGAUUUGAUUGUAAUAGCAGGGUGGGCACUUCCCCACAAAACAGUGAAAUCAUCGUUGAUCCCCAUUACCAAAGACAUGAUGCUCCAGGACUGACUCGAUUUUUAAUCCAAAGGAUGGCUGGGCUCUUCUCAAGGAGCCUUGCUCUAGCUUCCCUGGGCUCUGAGGAAUGCCCAGCUACAUCAACCUUCAUAUUUCUCUGCAAGACACAGGAGUAUCCCAGAGAAGCUCCAAUAUCCUCAGAACAAAAGAGAUGGAGCCUAGGAUGGAUUCAAACUCCUGAGAUGAAAGAGUCCCCUGCCUUAGCCUCCCAAGCAGCAGGGACUACAGGUGCAUGUCACCUUGCCCAGCUCCUGCAAAAUUUGUUUGUAGCAAAGGACGUUUCCAUGUUCUAUCCCAUUAGGUAUCGAUCCUCUCAAUGAAGGCCUUUUUUUCAAUCUAAUAUUUGUGAUAUGGGUGUAUUUGGAUCCUGUAAAGCUAGCCGUACAAUGAUAACUUUGACACAAAAGUGUGGUGCUGUUUGGGGGUUUUGUUUGGGUGGAGGUGAGUGGACAGAGAAGUAACUUGGAAACGAUGUGUAGUAGUGAAGUCAAGCAGAGAGAAGGAUGUGAACAAGGUGGAACUAAAACCGUGUUCUGUUAUUAGGCACCAGAAUCUAAGCUAUGCCAAAUUAAAUGCAAAUAAAAUAGUCUGAGG
rnacentral:lncRNA from 1 species